CUCAACCGGUUCCCCUCAACCCCCUCAGCUUUCUCUCAGCAAACCCUAUUUUCCUCCUGAAACGCAUCUCAUCGUCUCUCUCUCGGGGCGGUGGCGGCGGCGGCAAUACGUGACGCAGGUGACAGCGAGCUCUUGCAGGUCUGCACCUCUUCUCAGCUAUCUCUAGACGUACGCCCUGACAUCUCUUCUCCCUUUCUGCGAUCAUUGGCAAUGGUGUCACCACGGAACAAGGGGCGAUGGCGGCCGGCUGUGCGAGAGUAAAUUGAGAGUGGCCUCGAACGAUCGGUGGCCUACUCUUGUUCCAAUCUCGCGGGAACAAGACCAGUGGCGGCCGGGCCUGGAAGAGUCUCUCCUCUCCAUACCACCAUCUUCUCCCAUGUCCUUCACCGUGGACCUUCUAGCAGCGCCCACAACUCCCUAAUCCACCCUUUGCAGCAGGAAGGGUCGCAGCACUGGCCUAGCGACCCCUGAUGGUGUAGCGGACAGCCCCUCCGGCUCCUAGGCGCCCGAGGUUUCCUAAAGCAGCAGAUCGACUGUGCCCAUGUGAUCAGGUGAUUCAGGUCUAAUGUCGGGUGUGUUUGCUUAUUCUUUUGUUCCUUGCCUACCAUAGCAUCAAUAGGUAAUGUUUAUCGCAGCCAAAACUGUCGGCAGGCUUAAUCUCGGACCACUUGUCAUGGGAUGAAGGUCAGCCCUACCCUCGGCAAGCUUAGAGGUCUGUAAUGAGCUCCCAUAGCACACAAUGCGAUAUGUGAAAACUUUCAGUUUGGUGCUUCUGUUCCUUUGGUUGUAGUCUGAAUUGUCAUUUGUCAGAAAACCAUGCCUUGCAGAGGUGUUGCUCAAACGGAUCCGCUUCAGUUUUAUCCAACUACAAUCAAUUUGCUGGCUAGGCUUGCAUGAUGCUCAAGUGGUGGCAUUCAAGAUGCAUAUGCAAUUGUGAUUGUAGUGUGAUUGAAUGCCUACUAAUUACAGAUAUGCAGUUACAGGAAAUGAAUUGCUUUGAUUAAUUAGUUGCGUUAUAGUGCAUAUUGUUUCUUAAUAUUUAUCCUUGCCACUGGGAUGCUAUGUUCAAUAUUCGUGUGUUCUUCAGUUGUCGCUAACAUAAGGCUGCCACACUAUUUUUGCAAGGAUAUGGAAGAGCGCUCCCUGAUGGUUAAUGCAUGGAUUUUACGAAGAGAAUGUCCGUGCAUUAUGAAUACGGUUUCUUAAUGCAUAGUUGUUCACAUGGAAAGGUUUUCGAUGAAGACAAACUCUGAAGGUUCUCAAGUCAAAGCGUACAUGAACGAUGGUUGGCAGCUCAUAUUCCCCUCCAGAUUUUUAUGUAAAGUGAAGAAUGGCCGGAUUGAUAGCGAUGAUCAGUGCAGUGCGAGACAAGUAC